UACGGGGGGGGCAAGCGUUGUUCGGAAUUACUGGGCGUAAAGGGCUCGUAGGUGGCCAACUAAGUCAGACGUGAAAUCCCCGGGCUCAACCUGGGAACUGCAUUUGUGACUGCACGGCUGGAGUGCGGCAGAGGGGGAUGGAAUUCCGCGUGUAGCAGUGAAAUGCGUAGAUAUGCGGAGGAACACCGAUGGCGAAGGCAAUCCCCUGGGCCUGCACUGACGCUCAUGCACGAAAGCGUGGGGAGCAAACAGG
rnacentral:rRNA from 1 species